GUUUAAUUACUCAAAUUUACAAAGAGCUAAAUCAAUUGUACAAAAAAUCAAGUCAUUCUCCAAUUGAUAAAUGGGCAAGGGACAUGAACAGGCAGUUUUCAGAUAAAGGAAUCAAAACUUAAUAAGCACAUGAAAAAGUGCUCUACAUCUCUUAUAAUCAGAGAGGUGCAAAUCAAAACAACUCUGAGGUAUCACCUCACACCUAGCAGAUUGGCUAACAUGACAGCAAAAGAAAGUAAUGAAUGCUGGAGGGGAUGUGGCAAAGUCGGGGCAUUAAUUCAUUGCUGGUGGAGUUGUGAAUUGAUCCAACCAUUCUAAAGGGCAAUUUGGAACUAUGCCCAAAGGGUGGUAAAAUAAUGUCUACCCUUUGAUCCUGCCAUAGCACUGCCGGGUUUGUACCCCAAAGAGAUAAUAAGGAAAAAGACAUGUACAGGAAUAUUCAUAGCUGCGCUCUUUGUGGUGGCCAAAAAUUGGAAAAUGAGGGGAUGCCCUUCAAUUGGGGAAUGGCUGAACAAAUUGUGGUAUAUGUUGGUGAUGGAAUACUAUUGUGCUCAAAGGAAUGGCUGAACAAAUUGUGGUAUGUGUUGGUGAUGGAAUACUAUUGUGCUCGAAGGAAUAAUAAAGUGGAGGAAUUCCAUGGAGACUGGAACAACCUCCAGGAAGUGAUGCAGAGCGAGAGGAGCAGAACCAGGAGAACAUUGUACACAGAGACUAAUACACUGUGGAACAAUCGAAGGUAAUGGACUUCUCUACUAGUAGCAGUGCAAUGAUCCAGGACAAUUGCUAUCCACAUCCAAAGAAAGAACUGUGGAAGUAGAAACACAGAAGAAAAACAAUUGCUUGAUCACAUGGGUCGAUGGGGAUAUGAUUGGGGAUGUAGACUCCAAACAAUCACCCUAGUGUAAUUAUUGUCAAUAAUAUGGAAAUAGGUCUUGAUCAGUGGCACAUGUAAAACCCAGUGGAAUUGCAUGUUGGCUAUGGGGGGGGGGGAGACUGAAAGAACAUGAAUUAUGUAACCAUGGAAAAAUAUUCUAAAUUAAUUAAUUAAAUAAAAAAAUAAAACCAAUGUAGCCA
rnacentral:lncRNA from 1 species